CGACGCCAGGCCCGCUCCCAGCCAGGACCUGGGAUGAUUCCCAGAGGUCGGUUCCCCCGCGGCCUUGGCAGAUGUUUGCCGGGGCCCUUCGGGUCCGAGUUUCAGAUUUCUUCUUGAAUUUUCGUUUCAGGACAUAACUUGGCAGGACGAGCACUCGGCCCCUUUCUCCUGGGAGACCAAGGUCAGCGGGAGCAGCGUCAUCCUGAAGACGGGGUUUGAUUUCCUGGACAACUGGUAAAACGAGUCAGACACACGCACACCAACCCCACAGAGAAACCAAGACCCCGACGAUUCCCGCCGAGGCGCGGCCGGCGGGGGCGGGCAGAAAGGGCAGCCUCUCCCUGGGCCGUUUCCCGGUCUCUGUACUCGGUUAUUUUUUUUUUUUGAAUCUUUUGGAAACUGUAAGAAUCGCCGUGUCCAGAUUUCCAGAGCUCCCCCCUUUUUGCUAAGACCCGAUGUAUCUGCCGUUUUCCACGAUUUGAUAACCGAAGUUUUUGCAUUUGGAAUUUU